rnacentral:rRNA from 1 species
AACGAACGCUGGCGGCGUGGAUAAGACAUGCAAGUCGAACGGGAUUAUUUUUGUAGCAAUACAGAAAUAAUUCAGUGGCGAACGGGUGCGUAACACGUGGGCAAUCUGCCGAAAAGUGGGGGAUAGCUCGCCGAAAGGCGAAUUAAUACCGCAUGUGGUGAGGGACGACAUCUUCCUGAAUCCAAAGCCGGGGUAACCUGGCGCUUUUUGAGGAGCCCGCGGCCUAUCAGCUAGUUGGGAGGUAACGGCCCACCAAGGCUAUGACGGGUAGCUGGUCUGAGAGGACGACCAGUCACACUGGAACUGAGACACGGUCCAGACACCUACGGGUGGCAGCAGUCGAGAAUUUUUCUCAAUGGGGGGAAACCCUGAAGGAGCGACGCCGC